GCACACUGGAAUAAAGGUAAGAUUUCACUAUAUUUAGAGAGGCAUAAGGGGAGACAGGGGGUUAGAUGGUGUUUUUAACACUAUAGGGUCAGGAAUACAUAUUUGUGUUCCUGGCCCUAUAGUAUUCCUUUAAGUUUUUUUUCUCUUAUCUCCCACACCCUAUUUCCAUACUUCUUUCUCCUGUCUCAUUUCCUUCUGUUGUCAUACUGUUUCACAUUGUGAAUUAUGUGUCAAUAAUAAUUAUGAUGUAUUUGGUUAUAGUUUUCCCUUUGCACCUUUACAGUAUGUAUAGCAAUAUCUAGAUAGACAUUCUACAUGAGAAAAAAUAGGGAACAUUUGUUGUGACUUUCUAGUCUCAAACUUGCAACUUUUUAUUUUAACAUUUGUAUCUUAGAAAUGUCACAAUUGUUCCAUCCCUUUUUAUAAUUCAACUGCAUUUAUUUUUAUACAUAAUAUGCAACAA